CCUACGGGGGGCUGCAGUAAGGAAUAUUGGACAAUGGCGGAGACGCUGAUCCAGCUAUCCCGCGUGCAGGAUGAAGGACCUAUGGUUUGUAAACUGCUUUAGACUGGGGCGAAAAAGUGGGAUUUAUCCUACAUUGACGGUACCAGUAAAAUAAGCACCGGCUAACUCCGUGCCAGCAGCCGCGGUAAUACGGAGGGUGCAGGAGUUAUUCGGAAUCACUGGGGAGAAGGGGGCUGUAUACGGCAGGAGUGAAAGGCCACGGCUUAACCGUGGGAUUGCGUUUGAUACUGGCGAGCUUGGAUUAGGACGAGGUUGGCGGAAUGUGGCAAGUAGCGGUGAAAUGCAUAGAUAUGCCAUAGAAUACCGAUUGCGAAGGCAGCUGACUAGACCUAUAUUGACGCUGAGGCACGAAAGCGUGGGGAGCGAACAGGAUUAGAUACCCUUGUAGUC
rnacentral:rRNA from 1 species